AGAGUUUGAUCCUGGCUCAGAACGAACGCUGGCGGCGUGCUUAACACAUGCAAGUCGAGUGCGCGUGCCGUAGCAAUACGGUAUGGCGCACGGCGCACGGGUGCGUAACACGUGGGCAAUCUGCCCUCCGGUGGGGAAUAACCCCGCGAAAGCGGGGCUAAUUCCGCAUAACAUUCUCUGGACUCUGGUUCGGGGAUUCAAAGCAGCAAUGCGCCGAAGGAGGAGCCCGCGCCCGAUUAGCUAGUUGGUGAGGUAACGGCUCACCAAGGCAAUGAUCGGUAGCUGGUCUGAGAGGAUGGCCAGCCACACUGGAACUGAGACACGGUCCAGACUCCUACGGGAGGCAGCAGUGGGGAAUCUUGCGCAAUGGGCGAAAGCCUGACGCAGCGACGCCGCGUGGGGGAUGAAGCUUCUCGGAGUGUAAACCCCUUUCGACCGGGACGAAUGCCCGCAAGGGAGUGACGGUACCGGUAGAAGAAGCCCCGGCUAACUACGUGCCAGCAGCCGCGGUAAGACGUAGGGGGCCAGCGUUGUUCGGAAUUACUGGGUGUAAAGGGUCCGUAGGCGGUGUGGCAAGUCGGGAGUGAAAUUUCUGGGCUUAACUCAGAAGCUGCUUCCGAAACUGCUGUGCUAGAGUGCGGGAGAGGCGCGUGGAAUUGCAGGUGUAGCGGUGAAAUGCGUAGAUAUCUGC
rnacentral:rRNA from 1 species